GUUUUAAAAUUUCCCCUCGAAUAGCACCAGUGGCAUCAUAUUCACAUUGAUGAUCACAUGAUGAGAGCAACCAUCAGUCAGCUGCCCAUCUGCUUUCUUCAGUCUGCAGCAUCUGGCAACAGGAAAUCAAACUGAGACCGACUCGCAGUAGUAGUCAGGCAUCAGGUCAACCAGCUCUGGCUGUGGAUUAGCCCUGCCAGCGGCUCAUGCAUCACUCUGCUUCAAGCGCCACCUAUUUCACAAGACUCAUGGAUGUAAUUCACUGUGACACUUUCCGGAGUGACUCUCCUUUUUCUGGUUCCUAUGGUUCACAGUUAUGGCAACAGAUUAAGGAGCUGUUUGUUGGAGCAACUAGGUGACAGAAAUCAGGUAUAAUUCUUCUGUUGUAAACAUGCCGUAUUACCAAGCUAAUUUCAUUAUUAUACAAAUAAAAAGCAUCGACAUUUUUUGUCAAAUCAUUAACUGAUGUUUGUUUUUGAAGGGUUUAGUUAAAUUUCACCAGUCUCUGUCAGGGUCUUGGGGGGUGUUCUUAGCGUUUUGUCGCCAUGGGUUUGGUUUGGGUGGUUGUGCUUCUUCUUUUCCACCAGAGGGCGCUGUCAGGACGGUGGGCUGGAUUACGUCAGCGAGCACACCGGUUGCGAGUUGAGCUCAUCAGGAGCGGCGUCUUCAGGAGCAACCUGCCAGUCUUCGGCGCCUGAGUGUCUUCCCGUAUUGACCAUUCACCCGAUGCAGUGGAAGGAUUUCCCGUGUGCUGAGUUUCUCGACUCACCUUCUCUGUGCAACAACAGGCUCCCCUCGGAUUCCUUGGCUGGCUGCUCCUCGUGCCUCGCUCCUGCUCCGCGUUUCCACCGUGGACACCAAGCCCACCUGUCCGCCCGCCUACACACACACACACCCUGCCGCUACCCUGCAGUGAAUCUCUUCCACGCUUCAGCUGUCUACCCCUCAAUUCCCGAUCGCUCCCCCUCCCGAGGCGCUCCUGUGGACCGGACCCGAAU